rnacentral:lncRNA from 1 species
GUUAAAAAUUUUUUUUGUAGAGACAGGGUCUCCCUAUGUUGCCCAGGCUGGUAUUGAACUCCUGGCCCCUAGGGAUUCUCCCAUCUAAGCUUCCCAAAGUGUCGGGAUUACAGGUGUGGCCACUGCACAGGGCCAGGACAAGGAUUCUUAAUCCCACUCCAGGAUGGGAAACCCAUGGCCGAGUGGGAAGAAACCAGCUGAGGUCACAUCACCAGAGGAGGGAGAGUGUGGCCCCUGACUCAGUCCAUCAGCUUGUGUAGCUGAGGUCUGGGCCAGGUCUAACCAGGCUCCCCACUCCUCCCAACCUGAGCCUGCCCUCUGAUCUCUGCCUGUUCCUCUGUCCCACAGGGGGCAAAGGCUACGGGUCAGAGAGCGGGGAGGAGGACUUUGCUGCCUUUCGAGCCUGGCUGCGCUGCUAUGGCAUGCCAGGCAUGAGCUCCCUGCAGGACCGGCAUGGCCGUACCAUCUGGUUCCAGGGGGAUCCUGGACCGUUGGCACCCAAAGGGCGCAAGUCCCGCAAAAAGAAAUCCAAGGCCACACAGCUGAGUCCUGAGGACAGAGUGGAGGUAUGGCUGCCUGCUCCCGCCUCCUCCCCUGCACUCUGCAGCCCUGGCUGCCCCUCCCAGGCAGCUGCCUUACCCUAAGAGGGCGGGGGGAGUGGUGGGCCCUAACCAACCUCUGAACUGCUUUCUGAGCCCCUCAGGGACCCGUGUCUCCUCCAUCCAGGACGCUUUGCCUCCAAGCAAGGCCCCUUCCAGGACACGAAGGGCAAAGAGAGACCUUCCUAAGAGGACUGCAACCCAGCGGCCUGAGGGGACCAGCCUCCAGCAGGACCCAGAAGCUCCCACAGUGCCCAAGAAGGGGAGGAGGAAGGGGCGACAGGCAGCCUCUGGCCACUGCAGACCCCGGAAGGUCAAGGCUGACAUCCCAUCCUUGGAACCAGAGGGGACCUCAGCCUCUUAGCAGGAGGCUCUCCUUGCUUGCACUCACCCUUUCUUAUUGUCUUGCCCUGCAUCUGGGGGUCUGAAUUUUUGGGAGCAGGCAAUAUCUGAAGGUGCAAACAGGCCCUACGGCUGUUCCCUGCACAACUCUCAUGGUUUUAAUUGUACCCCAUCUUCCACAUCUUUAAAGCUCAUGUGAAAAA